GGGCGGCACAGCGGGAAGCCAGGUGGUGACACCGAGCAGAACCGAAAGCCGUUCUCAGUUCGGAUCGGAGUCUGCAACCCGACUCCGUGAAGCUGGAUUCGCUAGUAAUCGCGCAUCAGCCAUGGCGCGGUGAAUACGUUCCCGGGCCUUGUACACACCGCCCGUCAAGCCAUGGAAGCCGGGGGCGCUUGAAGUGCGUUGCCGCAAGGCGCGCCCUAGAGCGAAACCGGUGACUGGGGCUAAGUCGUAACAAGGUACC
rnacentral:rRNA from 1 species